AAAAAAAUAAUAAUAAAAAUGCAUAAAAAUCACCCUUUGGUAUUAUCUGUCGCAAAGCUCGUUGCACAUGCUGCAUACUGUUUUGUAGCAUAAACGAUCUGAUGCAUUAAAGGGGCCUGCAGGUUGUAAUAAAGCAUCCCAGCUCUGCCUCCGCAGUGAGUCCUUUUACUGAGGUCUCAAGUGGUGUAAAAAAAUAAGAGAGAGGCCCAUCUGGCUUCUCAUCAGCUUUGUCAAGUCUUGCAUACUCUGAAAUGCUAAUGACCUAGAUAGCUGAUGCAAAAUGCAGCAAAGAGAGAGAGGGAGAGAAAGAGAGAGAGGGGGAGAAAAAGAGAGAGUGAGGUAAAGAGGGGAGGGAACAGAAUGGAGAGAUGGAGAUUGUUUGGUUGCAGUAUAUACACCCUUUCCA